rnacentral:rRNA from 1 species
AAAUGSUUCCGGGCGCCUUAAGGAUGGAUCUGCGGCAGAUUAGGGUAGUUGGCGGGGUAAYUGCCCACCAARCCAGUAAUCUGUACGGGUUGUGAGARCAAGAGCCCGGAAGAUGGAACCUGAGACAAGCUUCCAGGCCCUACGGGGCACAGCAGGCGCGAAACCUCCGCAAUGCGAGCAAUCKCGACGGGGGAAMCCCAAGWACCACUCUUAACGGGGUGGUUUUUCUGAAGUGUAAAAAGCUUCAGGAAUAAGAGCUGGGCAAGACCGGUGCCAGCCGCCGCGGUAACACCGGCAGCUSGAGUGGUGGCCGUUUUUAUUGGGCCUAAAGCGUUCGUAGCCGGCUUGAUAAGUCUCUGGUGAAAUCCUACAGCUUAACUGUGGGAAUUGCUGGAGAUACUAUCAGGCUUGAGGCCGGGAGAGGCUGGAGGUMCUCCCGGGGUAGGGGUGAAAUCCUAUAAUCCCGGGAGGGCCACCUGUGGCGAAGGCGUCCAGCUGGAACGGACCUGACGGUGAGUAACGAAA